rnacentral:lncRNA from 1 species
ACACCAUCUAUUAGGCUCAUCACUGGAUCCUUCCUAUUGAGGUUCAGCCUUACCUGAACAACAAAGGUUUCCUGAACUCCAGGCAGUUCUUUGUCCUUAGAUAGUGAUCCAUAACUACAGUAGAGUCUCACUUAUCCAACACUCAUUUAUCCAAAGUUCUGGGUUAUCCAACACAUUUUUGUAGUCAAUAUUUUCAAUACAUCGUGAUAUUUUGGUGCGAAAUUCAUAAAUACAGUAAUUACUACAUAGCAUUACUGCGCAUUGAACUACUUUUUAUGUCAAAUUUGUUGUAUAACAUGAUGUUUUGGUGCUUAAUUUGUAAAAUCAUAACCCAAUUUGAUGUUUAAUAGGCUUUUCCUUAAUCCCUCCUUAUUAUCCAACGCUAUUAUUUUUCAGUGAUUGGUUUGGGGGGGAGGCACCAAAAUUCUGUUCGCUUACACUUGAAAAUUACCUUGGGCCGGCCUUGUCUAUGUAAAGGUGCUGUCAUUUCCUUAUGCUUCCUCUUGCUUCAUAGCCACACAGAAUUGAACUUAUUCUGAGUUUAGCUCUUCUGCCUUUUCCUCAGAAAUUCUGACUACCAGAAUGAACCCUCUCUCUGAGAUUUUCCUUUCCUUUCCUAUUCUUUAUACCUCCCCCAGUCCACUCAUGAGCUCUGAUUGUAGCCCCCCUUCCAUUUCUCCAUUUACUCUACUUUCUUACUGGAAUUGUUUGUGAUUUUGUCUUCAGUUUCUCAGCGUGAAGAAACUCCCAUCCAUCAUGAACACUCUUCUUUUUGAAGAUAGAACAGUGUAUUUUCUUAAGUCAGAUGAUGCUGACUUUCUAAAAGUGCACAGGGUGCAUCCAAUUAUACUAAAAUUUCCCUUUCCUCUAUAUGUUGAUUUUAAAGGAAACCUGUUCAUCGCUAUCCAAAAUUCCUAUUACUGUAUUUCUGUAUUGCUGCUCAGUUUCUUCCAUGUUGACAAUGACCGCAUCCAAAAUAGUCAGUCCAUUAAUUAUCAGUCAAGCAAAUGAGGAUUUGUUGAAACUUGUUUUUUUUGGCAAAACUUUACUGCUUGAAUUCUCAUAUUAAUUGUGUAUCUCUCUCUCUCUUUUUUAAAUACAGUAGAGUCUCACUUAUCCAAGCUAAACGGGCCAGCAGAAGCUUGGAUAAGCGAAUAUCUUGGAUAAUAAGGAGGGAUUAAGAAAAAGCCUAUUAAACAUCAAAUUAGGUUAUGAUUUUACAAAUUAAGCACCAAAACAUCCUGUUAUACAACAAAUUUGACAGAAAAAAUAGUUCGAUACACAGUAAUGUUAUGUUGU